CUUACCUCCCACACCCAAAGCAGCCUCUGAGGUGCUUUGCUAGCUUAAAGGCCAUCCACUCUUGAGAUGGCCUCUCUCCGUCUCCCACAAAAGCAGCGGCUCCUGCAAUCGUUCUUGGCUAUACAUCAGAAAUUUUCCCCUCCACUUCAGGAAGAUUGAUUCAACAAGAGUAACCAGCCUGCACAGAGCUGGGGCAGGCUGGAGGAGCCAGGCCAGUCGGGAGAACAGGGCAGGGCCCUACGGAGUGCCUAGAACAUAAUAUACGCGGAAUAGACUAUAUUGACUUGAAGUAUUCAGCAAACUUUCACCAAGCAAAAUACUGUGCCAGACCCUGUGCCAGGAGCGAGGGCUACAAAAAUGAAAAGCACAUAAGAGGGUGAGGGGACAACCUGCAUUCGACACACGAACGCUGCCGCGGAGCUAGGUGCUGGUGAGAGUGGAAGAAGGCCCCAAGUGCGGGGGAUGCCUGGGGAAGGAGCACUGGAGCUCAGGAAGGGGUGGGGGAGACACCAUGGCUGAGGCCUCCGGGAGACUGGAAACGGGAGGAACUUGCCACAAGGAGGAUGGGCCGUUUCAGGGGGGGAGGAGCAGAGGCUGCAGCAUGGAAGUUUGAGAGAGCCUGGCUUGGCGAGGGUUUUAGGGGAAUAAUAAAUAGCACUCUAAACGGGGUCGCUCCUCCCCAAGGCACAGCUCAGCCCAGCCAGUGAACCCUGGCAAGUGGCACCGGCCGCAGUUGAAUGUCUGUGUAGGGUGAAAGGAAGAGACCCCGCUGAGGGUGCGCGGUCCCUCCUCCCGCGUCACAAGGAGCCCACCCCCAGGCCCAGGAGAACAGGACUGCCAGGAGGGCAGCUUCUUCCAUACCAUUCCCUUGGGAAGUCUGAAAUUCCUCCCAGUCUAUAGAAAUAGAAGACACGAGGCAUAGUCCCACCCCCGCCCCAGCGUUCAGAGAGGAAGUCCUGCAGGGCCACAGGCUGCACAGGUAGGGGGCCUCGUGUGCCCUGCAGCGGGAGAGCUGAACCCCCCAAGGGCCACGGAUGAAAGGAGAGCUGCAUGGAGACAACACCUGGGAGGCACUCUUGGGGCUGCAAGGUGAGGAGGAUGGAGAGGAGGACAUGAGGGGGAGAUUAACCUGUCAGGGGCCACCUCAGAGCUCUGGCCAGGGCUGCGAGGCUGGGAAACGGCGAGGGAAUGGAGAGCUAUUUAGGAGGUGACACACAGAGUCGAUGAUUAACUGGGCGUGACAGACAAAAAGAGAGAGGGAAUCAGGCUGCACGCCAGGCUCUGGCUAGGCCGCUGGCUGGGGGCAAGGGGACCGCGCUCUGGAGACCGAGAGCAGGAGGGAGAGAGGGUGGCAGGGGAAGAGGAGCUCAUUAGGGGACACGCUGGGUUCGAGAGCUAUCAGAAGCCACGGUGCCCAGAGGCGUGGAUCCUGGGAGAGAAGGCUGGCCUGCAGAGAGAUCCAGAAGUCAGCUGACUAGAAGGAGGCACGCUUCCCAGGCAACAGGAGCCUGGAGUGAAAAGGAGCGUGACAGUGAGUCACCAGGACGGCUUUCUCUGCCUCUGUCUCUCCCCACUCCCGGGGAACUCCCGCUCCUCUCAAACACGUCCCAGGGAACUCUUGAACUUGCUUACUUACUUGAACUUACUUCUUGAACUAGACCUCUGCAGCCACGUGGCAUCCAUGGUCCAUGGCUCCCCCUCCCUGCUCCAGCCCACUGGGGACCACCCGGACUCAGAGCCAUGCCUGGGUCCCGAAGCCCACCCAAGAGCUCCAGGGCCCACUGGCAAGGGCAUUGAUGUCUGCAUUGAAAGAACAAGUGUUCAACAAGCAGGUGAAGUUGACCACUAUUAGAAGCAGCUUCUCUGAAAACGAACAAAACCCACAGCAGGCCAGGCCCCGUCUAGAGCAGGGCUAACUCACUCAGCCUCCACUGCCCCCCUCACCGAAACCACCCCUACACACAUCACCACCAUCACCAUCCCCAGGAAUGUCUCCAGCAUCUCUGCACCUGGGGAUCCAGGCCCCACGGACACCCUAGCCUCAGUCCAAGUCUGCCUCCAUUCCUACCCCAGGAUUAGCAUCUUUCCGUAAUGAUUGGCUCUGAGAAUAUCAAUUUGCUUCAGAGGGGAUAAAAAUCCCUAGCCCACCCUGACUGUGCAACUGGAAGGGCAUGGUCCAAGCAGACGAGGAUCAGUACCCAGAGUCUAGAUCAUCCAGUCUGCGGCCCAGCAUCAUCAUUCUGUUGGCGCUGCCCUCAAAGCCCAUGCAGAUUCUAGCCACUGCUCAUCACCUCCAUCGUUCCCAGCCACUUCUCUCUUGCCUGGAUUAUUGUGACAGACUCCCAACUGCUCUUCCUAUUUCUGCCCUUCAGCCUAUUCUUAACACAGCAGCCUGAGUAAAACACCGACCAUGCUCUGCUCAAACCCCGUCUUCCCAUCUCAGAGUAAAACCCAAGUCCUUACAAACCCUGUGGUGAGGACGUAAGCCUUAACACGACCACCACCCCACACACACCUUGUGAUGCUCUGACCUUGACCCUGGACUACUCGUCCUUAUUCACAGUGCUCCUCCAGUCCUCAGGCGAAGGACCUUUGCUGUCCACUCAGGCCCUUUGCACCUGCGGUUCCUUCAGCCUGAAAUAUUCUCCCUGUGCGUGGCCACACGUCCCCCUUCAGUCCUUGCUCGCAGUCUCAAUGAUUACACUGUCUCAAAUGUCAUCACCCAUACACACACACGCACACAGACACACACACACACUUCCUACCUCCUCACCUGCUUCAUUUUUCUCCUCCGCAUUUCUCACAACAUUGUUUACUUAAUGAUCUUGUUGAUGUGUAUUUUAUGAAGAUCAAACGUUGUUUGUUUUGUUCCCUCUGAUCCGCCAUUGCCUAGAAGAGUGCUCGCAGACGUGUGCUGGGAUAAAUCUGUGGGUUGGUCAUGAUGGAGGGAAUGAAACAGUAGCUGGGCUCUUCGCAGGAGAUCCCCAGUUCCCUCACAAACAGACCUGGGCGAGUUCGUCCACUGGGCUCCUGGACAGGCACAAGCAUGCCUGAGAACUGGGCAACCUUGGCUUCCUUCAAACCAGGGAGCCUUGCUGGCAUGCAGGGAGUGACUGAACCCCCCGGGUGGGAGAGAGCUCUCUGGGGAACAGGGCCGCUGAGAGAGCCGGGGCCUGGGAGGACAGCUGGAGAACCGGCAUCCCCAAGACACUGUCGGAUGGCAACAGUGAAACACUCGCAAAAGGGAUUGGAUUUUUUAGCACGAACCAUUGUCACCCAGCCUCUUAAAAAUCACAUUGCCCAGCCUCUCUGGCAGCUUGGAGUGGCCACAUGACUACCCUGGGGUACUUCUAGAAGACGACCUGGGACUCCAGCGUGUUGACUGAAGCUUGCGCUGCACACUGGGACUUGAGGAGGGUCCCAUCCUUAAAAAAGGCAGAGCUGUGGGCGAGAGUAAGCCUGGGUCCUGAGACCAUGAAACCUACUUACCCGCCCUGGACCAGCUACCUCUGAGACUUCUUUGACUCGAUAAAAUCUUGUGUUUGAGACACUGUUAUUUUAGGCUUUCUGACAGCAGGGAAAUUAAUCCAGAACAUUACAGAUGGUGUAUGAGCAACAGCCCAGAUUUCAAAGGAGGACCAUUUUGAAGCUACAAGCAUAUCAACAGUGGCUUCCAGGCUUGAGCAUUUUCCAAGGGCUUGUUCAAUUCCUGCUGUGUCUGGUGAUCCUGGUCUGGUCGUGGAAGCUUGGUGUUAAUCCAGCCCUGGUUCAUCACACACGUCAACACGCCUGGUAUGGAUGGUUCCCCAAGAUGGGACUGAGUGUGAUGCUGUUCAAGUUAUUUUCAAGUUCCUGUAACAGAAGUCACGUCAGAAAAACUAAGGCACCAGCACCACGGGGUCCAGCGAGCAAAGCCAUCCCCUUGGCAGCCAGCCCAGGGAGGAGACAGACAGGAGGGGCGGCGAGGAGGAGAGUGGUCGUUCUAAAGAGAGGGGGACGGAGGGGCGUCGAAGCCUUCGUCUUCCCCUGGCUCAUGUCUCACUAGGGUUGGUUAAGCAGGCCUCGUCUUGUCCCACGAGAAGUAGGACAGGUUAGCGUGUUCUAGGCUUGAAGCACAUGGGGAAGUUCAGCGCUCCCAGAAUUCCCAGGUGGAAGCCCUCUGGGAGGCUCCACCAUCUUGAGAGGUGACUGAAGUGGGGGUUCCCUGUGUCAGUUGCAGGACCCUCCGUUCAGGAUGGAGCCCUAAAUUCUCCCCAUCUGCCCGCAGGAAUAUCCCCUCAUCCUUUUGUUUUUAUUCAGCGUUAGAGAUAAUAUUUCUCUGAGCAGUCUCAGCCCCCAGUUUCUACAAUUUUAGCCAAUCCUUUUUUUCUACCAUCAUCUUAGGUAGUUUUCAGAAGUGUGUUGUUUAUAUAAACAUUUACACACAAACUAAGGUUUUAUGCUUUGUGAUCUCCAAACACAACUCUCAGGUCUCCACACCAAGAGCAGUAUUUCCAGACUCCUGGCCAGAGAUGGAGCAGUCAUGAAGAAUCUCGGGGAGUAAAGAGGCUUCUGACUAGUUAGAUGGUGCCAGAAACUGUCUCUCCCACAGAAGGUCUGGUUUGCUUUAAACCAGUGCUUCCCUAACUUCUCAAAAGAAGUCUCUGUUUAUUUUUGUAUAUGGUGUUACAGAAUGGUCUCAUUUCAUUCUUUUACAUGUAGCUGUCCAGUUUUCCCAGCACCACUUACUGAAGAGACUUUUCUCCAUUGUAUAUUCUUGCCUCUUUUGUUGUAGAUUAAUUAAACCAUAGGUAUGUGGGUUUAUUUCUGGGUUUUCUACCCUGUUCCAUUGAUCUUUAUGUCUGUUUUUGUGCCAACACCAUAGAUAACCAACACAGACCUGCUAUAUAGCACAGGGAAAUAUAGUCAAUAUUUUGUGAUAACCAGUAAGGGAAAAGAAACUGAAUCACCGUGCUGUACACCUGAAACUAACAGAACACUGUAAUCAACUAUACUUCAAUUGAAAAAAAAAAAGAAGCACCUGUUUAAAAAUGCAAAUUCCAGAACCCAUUCCCCAACCCCCUAAAGCAGAAUCUCCAGAAGUCAGGAAAGAUGGGUCUACAAGUACCUCCAGGUGAUUCUUAUCAUAGGGAAGCCCCUUUUUUUUUUUGAUUGCAGAUAACGCCUCACUAGAGAUUCCAAUUUAAUGAGGGGUCGUGGGCCGGGUAGGCGGAACCAGGGUGGAUGGAUGUUUUUGAACACAGUGACUCUGAUGUGUGAUCUACUGAGACUCACUGCUGACCUUCAGGCGUACUUUACCUUAUUCUCACCAGUUUGAUCAAAGCAGCCAAGCUUCAACUGGGCUUCAUAAUGAUGAUUUCAAUCAGGUUUUCUCCCUUUUGGAUAAGGUAUGUUAGUUUUCUUUAUCACCAUUAUUUAAAAACAAAAACAAAAGCUCUGCUUUGGAAACUGUCCUGUGCAUACUUGCCUCACAUAGCCUUCUCAACAAACC